CACGUGGGAAACGUGCGGCCGGACUGCCACAUGUACUGAGGUUGAGUCGUGACGGCCACAGGCUCCGAGUUUUGGCGUGAGGAACCGCUGAUCGGCCACGGGCGCCGAACUUGCUGGCCUCCGGCAUGUGCCUGAGCGGCGGCGGAAAAACCACCUUAAUUGGGGCGGAGGGAACAAUGGCGCUGUCUUCAGUGGCACAGUGGAGCAGCUCUGAAGAUGCAAAGUGAGGGUCGCUGUCUGCCCAUUGAUAGAGGCCAGAUUGUCUUGGAAGUUCCAAAGUUGCAACGAUUUCUGGCUAGUGCCACGAGGUUUACUUGACUGUUGUGUGAAAAGCUGAUAAGAAAACCAUCCAGAAAAAAGCUCUUCGUUUUACAAACAUGAAAAUAAAACAUGUAAUUUUG
rnacentral:lncRNA from 1 species